GCCGCCUUAGCUCAGUGGUAGAGCAACGCACUCGUAAUGCGUAGGUCUGGGGUUCAAAUCCCCAAGGCGGCUCCC
rnacentral:tRNA from 1 species